AACGAACGCUGGCGGCAUGCCUAACACAUGCAAGUCGAGCGAGACCUUCGGGUCUAGUGGCGCACGGGUGCGUAACGCGUGGGAACCUGCCCUUAGGUUCGGAAUAACUCCCCGACAGGGGUGCUAAUACCGGAUAAUGUCUUCGGACCAAAGAUUUAUCGCCUUUGGAUGGGCCCGCGUUGGAUUAGCUAGUUGGUAGGGUAAAAGCCUACCAAGGCGACGAUGCAUAGCUGGUCUGAGAGGGGGAUCAGCCACACGGGGACUGAGACACGGCCCAGACUCGUACGGGAGGCAGCAGUAGGGAAUCCUACGCAAUGGGCGAAAGGCUGACGGAGCAACGCCGGGUGAGUGAUGAAGGUCUUCGGAUCGGAAAAAUCUGGUAGUAGGGAAGAACAAAUGUGUAAGUAACUAUGCACGUCUUGACGGUACCUAAUCAGAAAGCCACGGCUAACUACGUG
rnacentral:rRNA from 1 species